UCUCUCCUCCAUGCCUUGAGUGUAGGACCGUUGGCAUCUUAAUUACCCUCCCACACCCAAGGCUUGCAGAAGAGC
rfam:Macaca mulatta chromosome X, whole genome shotgun sequence.